rnacentral:rRNA from 1 species
GAUGAACGCUAGCGGCAGGCUUAACACAUGCAAGUCGAGGGGCAGCAUGAAGGUUAGCAAUAACUUUUGAUGGCGACCGGCGCAAGGGUGCGUAACGCGUGAGCAACUUGCCCGUUUCAGGGGGAUAACCGGUGGAAACGCCGACUAAUACCCCAUGGUAUUGACCUUAGGCAUCUUCGGUCAAUUAAAGAGUUUCGGAAACGGAUAGGCUCGCGUGACAUUAGCUAGAUGGCGGGGUAACGGCCCACCAUGGCGACGAUGUCUAGGGGUUCUGAGAGGAAGGUCCCCCACACUGGAACUGAGACACGGUCCAGACUCCUACGGGAGGCAGCAGUGAGGAAUAUUGGUCAAUGGUCAGACGACUGAACCAGCCAUGCCGCGUGAAGGUCACGGCCCUAUGGGUCUUAAACUUCUUUUGCAAGGGAGCAAUAAGUCCCACGUGUGGGAUGAUGAGAGUACCUUGCGAAUAAGCAUCGGCUAACUCCGUGCCAGCAGCCG